CCCUUAGAUGUUCUGGGCCGCACGCGCGCUACAAUGAUGAAUUCAACGAGUUUAUAACCUUGGUUGAAAAGCCUGGGUAAUCUUUUGAACUUUCGUCGUGAUGGGGCUAGACCCUUGCAAUUAUUGGUCCCCAACGAGGAAUUCCUAGUAAACGCAAGUCAUCAGCUUGCAUUGAUUACGUCCCUGCCCUUUGUACACAUUGCCCGUCGCACCUACCGAUUGAAUGGUCCGGUGAAAUCUUCGGAUUGAGACUUUGUUUUCUUCACGGAAAACGCUGUUUUAAAAAGUUGAUUAAACCUUACCAUUUAGAGGAAGGUGAAGUCGUAACA
rnacentral:rRNA from 1 species